rnacentral:rRNA from 1 species
ACGGCGAGUGAACGGAGAAAAGCCCAGCGCUAAAUUAAAAUGAUCUCUGAGAUCAUUUUAAGCUGUAGCGUAUAGGUGCAAUUGUCCUAUUGUUUUGUGCACUCAAAGUCCCCUUGAGCGGGGCCACAGUCCAUAGAAGGUGCUAGACCUGUACGGGUGACGAAGCAAUGGGUUGAUUGCUCCUUGGAGUCGGGUUGCCUGAGAUCGCAGCUCAAAGUGGGUGGUAAAUCUCAUCUAAGGCUAAAUAUGGCCACGAGACCGAUAGCAAACAAGUACCGCGAGGGAAAGUUGAAAAGAACUCUGAGAAGAGAGUUAAACGAGGGCGUGAAACCGCUGGGAUGGAAACGAAUAGAGUUGACGAAACCUACCGUCAUUCAACCGAUUAACUCUGCGGUCUUUCAUUUUUCAAAACCUACAGUUGCCGCACAAUGCUAACCACAUUGUGUGUUUGCACUGCUGGAUUGAGAUGAAAGGUUCUGUCGAGUAUUCACAGUGUGCAUGUGUGUUUUUUGAUUGAAAACCUGUGUAAUCGGUGCAUUUGAUGGUGGUACGCGCCGAGAGCCGCGUUGUUGUACAACGAAGUGUUUAAUGUAGUGGAGCGUAUAGUUACCUAUACGUUAACCUGCAUUCAUGGAAGUGUAUCAAUAAUGCGGUUGAAAAAUUUUAUUGCAAACUUCCGCUAUCUCAAAUAUGAGAUGGUGCAUUGCUACUGUUUCGAUUGGUUUUAACUGUGUAAGAUCGAAUUUAAGUAAAUUUUGCACAGGAUGUAAUUAUUGCAAAAUAAUUGCAAAAAGCUAAUCAAAUAGUAGAAAAAAAACAAUGCGUUGAAGUUGCAUCUCGGUGUGAGCGUCCAUCACCUAUUCCACCCGUCUUGAAACACGGACCAAGGAGUCUAGCAUAUACGCGAGUUAUUUGGUGGUAAACCAUAAAAACGCAAUGAAAGUGAACAUUGUCUUUGGAUACAAUGUGAUAUGUGAGCUAUGUGUAUGUGUUUAAUGAUAUACGCACAAGUAACACAAAUGAUGAUAAUGAUCGUCAAAAAUUGUUAUUAUUGUUGUGUUGCUUAUCGUUUGUCAAAAUUUAUACACAUGGUGCAACAUAGCCCCGUCCCCGUUGCUUGCAAUAGGGCGGAGGUAGAGCGUAUACGCUGGGACCCGAAAGAUGGUGAACUAUGCCUGAGCAGGAUGAAGCCAGAGGAAACUCUGGUGGAGGUCCGAAGCGAUUCUGACGUGCAAAUCGAUCGUCUGACUUUGGUAUAGGGGCGAAAGACUAAUCGAACCAUCUAGUAGCUGGUUCCCUCUGAAGUUUCCCCCAGGAUAGCUGGAGCACGUACAAGAGCAGUUAUAUUCGGUAAAGCGAAUGAUUAGACGUAUUGGGGACGAAACGUUCUCAACCUAUUCUCAAACUUUCAAUGGGUAUGAAGUUCCGCUUGCUUAAAAAAUUAACAAUUCUUUUUUGUUAUCUUUAUGGUGCAAAAGAGAGUUGUAUGAAGCGUGAACAUUGAAUGUGUGCUCCAAGUGGGCCAUUUUUGGUAAGCAGAACUGGCGCUGUGGGAUGAACCAAACGUCGAGAUAAAGUGCCAAACUUUUCGCUCAUGAGACCCCAUGAAAGGCGUUGGUUGAUAUAGACAGCAGGACGGUGGCCAUGGAAGUCGGAAGCCGCUAAGGAGUGUGUAACAACUCACCUGCCGAAUCAACUAGCCCUGAAAAUGGAUGGCGCUUGAGCGGGAGACUUAUACUCGACCGUUGCUUGACUUGUGCACAGGUCAUUUUUCAAUGGAAGGAAAAAAGAAAAGAGGAAGAGAAAAAAAAACCGAUGUAUAUAUAUUUGUGUGUAUGUAUGCAUAUAUUAUUAUUUAGUUGUGUAUAUGGUGGUUGUUGUGUUCAAAAAUGCGCUACAUGACUUUUUCGAAAGGAAAUUUUAUUUUCUUUUGAAAAAGUGAUAACAAUUAUUACCAUAGCAAUAAAACAUCAGCAAUGGUAAUGUUGUAGCGCAAUGUGAACAAACACAACAUACAACAUGUACCAUAAAUAAUAAUUAUACAUACACCAUAAUACAUCAGUAAUUUUUUCUUUUUUUUCUUUCUUUUUUUUCCACUAAUUCCAUUYRAWUUAAAUUGAAAAAAUGAAUUAAUCGCUGAUGCCUGGUCGCAACGAGUAAGAGGGUCGCAGUGGUUAGCGCUGAAGACUUUGGGCGUAGGCCCAGUCGGAGCUUCCACUGGUGCAGAUCUUGGUGGUAGUAGCAAAUAUUCAAGUGAGAUCCUUGAAGACUGAAGUGGAGAAGGGUUCCUCGUGAACAGCAGUUGGAUGCGGGUCAGUCGAUCCUAAGAUACUGGCUAAUGCCAUUGGUCAAUUGAGAAAUGGAGGCCAAAUCCAUCUCGGCAAUCGAAAGGGAAACGGGUUUAUAUUCCCGUACCUGGACACGGAGAUUAAGUAACCAUUGCGGUUGCUUAGCGCGGUAACGCAAACGAACUCGGAGACGUUGAGCAGAGCCCGAGCCAGAGUUCUCUUUUCUGGUUAAGGAACGGACUCCCUGGAAGCGGUUCAGCCGGCGAUAGGGACGUUGUUUCCGUAAAGCGUCACGGUUCCUGUGGCGUCUCGUGCACUCUGCUUGACCCUUGAAAAUCCGAGGGAGGCUAUUUGAAUUUCGUGCCAGAUCGUACCGAUAUCCGCAGCAGGUCUCCAAGGUGAACAGCCUCUAGUCGAUAGAAUAAUGUAGGUAAGGGAAGUCGGCAAAUUAGAUCCGUAACUUCGGGAAAAGGAUUGGCUCUAAGGACUGGGUCGGUCGGGCUGCAGCGUGAAGUGAGUGCGGUUUGAUCCGUGCAGUGCAACAUGUACAAAUCAUACAUUUUUUGUGUUGUUUAUGUGUAUGCUUAAAUGUGUGUAUACAUUGACGCACAUUAAUAUGUAUGUAUUGCGUACGUGUAGCUCGGCUAGUGUUUGAACUGUCUUAUGGACCACUGCAGCUGUGCACCGUUUCACCUUACCGGUGUCGGUGCUUCGUCCGGCGCUAAACAGUCAACUUAGAACUGGCACGGACUCGGGGAAUCCGACUGUCUAAUUAAAACAGAGGAGACAGAUGGUCCUUGUGGGCGUUGACUGUCUCUGAUUUCUGCCCAGUGCUCUGAAUGUAAAAGUGAAGAAAUUCAACCAAGCGCGGGUAAACGGCGGGAGUAACUAUGACUCUCUUAAGGUAGCCAAAUGCCUCGUCGGAUAACUACCGACGCGCAUGAAUGGAUUAUCGAGAUUCCCACUGUCCCUAUCUACUAUCUAGCGAAAUCACAGCCAAGGGAACGGGCUUGGUAAACACAGCGGGGAAAGAAGACCCUGUUGAGCUUGACUCUAGUCCGACUCUGUGAAGAGUCAUGAGAGGUGUAGCAUAAGUGGGAGGCUUUGGCCACCAGUGAAAUACCACUACUUUCAUCGAUUCUUUACUUAUUCGGUAAGACGAGAAUUGAACCAUUUUAAGCAAAAAAAAAUGGUUCUUGUUUCUGGUAUAAAGUGUAGCCGCUUGGUGGCCACACGACUCGCGCCGAAGACAGUGUCAGGCGGGGAGUUUGACUGGGGCGGUACAUCUGUCAAAAAGUAACGCAGGUGUCCUAAGGCUAGCUCAGAGAGGACGGAAACCUCUCGUAGAGUAAAAGGGCAAAAGCUCGCUUGAUCUUGAUUUCCAGUACGAAUACAGACCGCGAAAGCGUGGCCUAUCGAUCCUUUUGAAUUAGAAGGUUUCUAGCAAGAGGUGUCAGAAAAGUUACCACAGGGAUAACUGGCUUGUGGCAGCCAAGCGUCCAUAGCGACGUUGCUUUUUGAUCCUUCGAUGUCGGCUCUUCCUAUCAUUGCGAAGCAGAAUUCGCCAAGCGUUGGAUUGUUCACCCACCAAUAGGG